UACGUAGGGGGCGAGCGUUGUCCGGAUUCAUUGGGCGUAAAGAGCUCGUAGGCGGCUUGGCAAGUCGGGUGUGAAACCUCCAGGCUCAACCUGGAGACGCCACCCGAGACUGCUAUGGCUAGAGUCCGGUAGGGGAUCACGGAAUUCCUGGUGUAGCGGUGAAAUGCGCAGAUAUCGUAAGGAAGACCAGUGGCGAAGGCGGGUCUCUGGACAGUUCCUGACGCUGAAGCACGAAGGCCAGGGGAGCAAACGGG
rnacentral:rRNA from 1 species